AUUGAACGCUGGCGGCAUGCCUUACACAUGCAAGUCGAACGGCAGCACGGGAGCAAUCCUGGUGGCGAGUGGCGAACGGGUGAGUAAAGUAUCGGAACGUGCCCAGUCGUGGGGGAUAACGCAGCGGAAGUUACGCUAAUACCGCAUACGAUCUAUGGAUGAAAGCGGGGGAUCGCAAGACCUCGCGCGAUUGGAGCGGCCGAUAUCAGAUUAGGUAGUUGGUGGGGUAAAGGCUCACCAAGCCGACGAUCUGUAGCUGGUCUGAGAGGACGACCAGCCACACUGGAACUGAGACACGGUCCAGACUCCUACGGGAGGCAGCAGUGGGGAAUUUUGGACAAUGGGCGAAAGCCUGAUCCAGCCAUUCCGCGUGCAGGAUGAAGGCCCUCGGGUUGUAAACUGCUUUUGUACAGAACGAAAAGGUUUCUACUAAUACUAGGAGCUCAUGACGGUACUGUAAGAAUAAGCACCGGCUAACUACGUGCCAGCAGCCGCCGUAA
rnacentral:rRNA from 1 species